UACGUAGGGUGCAAGCGUUGUCCGGAAUUUAUUGGGCGGUAAAGAGCUCGUAGGCGGUUUGUCGCGUCUGCUGUCGAAAACGCCGGGGCUCAACUCCGCGCCUGCAGUGGGUACGGGCAGACUAGAGUGCAGUAGGGGAGACUGGAAUUCCUGGUGUAGCGGUGGAAUGCGCAGAUAUCAGGAGGAACACCGGUGGCGAAGGCGGGUCUCGUGGGCUGUAACUGACGUGAGGAGCGAAAGCGUGGGUAGCGAACAGG
rnacentral:rRNA from 1 species